ACCAAACAUAUAGAUUCUGCAAGCAACUACUUUUCAGCGUAGGAAUCUGGGUCCUUUGAUCUUCAAAGCAUCUUUUGUUCCUUUCUAGCCAGAUGGUCCACAUGAUGCAUAAGGGAAUGGUAAUCUGUUAGACCCUUGACAAAGCUGAUCGGCAAGCGGCGCGACAGUGGCGAGGAUUUUGGCAUGAUGGCAUUGCCAUUGGCCUUAUAUGCGGGGAAAAUCAACAUGCAAGACAAUGCGGUUGUUGUCAAUGGCAACAAACUGUUGCAAGGGCAAGUGUGACGGACUACGCUUCUAUUUGAGGGCUUUGGUGUGACGGACUACAUCAAAAAUAUAAAGGGUUUGUUUGCAGGCAGAGGCCAAGACCUUGAGGGAACUAGGCGGGCUGAACGGAUGCUUGACAAGGCAAAACAAGAAAGACCUCUAUUCUCUCACAGAUUUGUUUGCAGGCAGAGGCCAAGACCUUGACGGAACUAGGCGGGCUGAACGGAUGCUUGACAAGGCAAAACGGGAAAGGCCUUGGCGCUAAAUUGGGGCAACUUAGUGCCA
rnacentral:lncRNA from 1 species